rnacentral:lncRNA from 1 species
AAUCAAUUUCUCUUCUCUCCUCCUCUCUUCACAGCCUCUACCCGAUCUCUGGCGUCACACCCUCUUCUCUCUCCGGCGGCUCUGGACUCGACCAAACGACACCUUGUAGCGGCAGCAGCAGUGGUACACGAUCGCUGACGACGACGAUCGUGUGUAGAACCACCGGAGUCUAUCUCUUUUCAUUCAACUUCUCUGUCGGUGUCAUCCCCCAGGUGCUGUUGACUCUCCGAGACGGUAGUGCGCCUAUUGCCCGCAUUGUAGCCACGAUUUUUUGGUGGUGGUGGUGGUGGUGUGGCGGCGACGAUGACACUGAGAUUGGGGAUUUUUUCAGUUGAUUUGGUGUGGCGCGGAGAUGGAAAUGGUGAUGGCGAUUCUUGGUAUAGGCAGUGAUUGUGGUGCUAACCAUGAUGUUGGUGAGAAUGUGGUAACCUUUGACGGCGCGACUGGAAGCUCACAAGUUAGACUACUACGCUGCCGCAGAUCUGUUGUGGGCUAUGGCCGGAAUCUACAGCUCCGCGAUUUGGUGGGGUUUUGGGUUUGCUUUUAGUUGGUGGAUGGGGGCUAUAGUAGUGGUGGUGUUUGGGUGGCGGUGAUUUUGGUGGUGGUGGGGUGCCGUGCAGUGGUUGUGGCAUUAGAUGGCAGUGGUCAUGGCAGCAGAGAACGGUGGUCAUGGUGAUGAGAUGUUAGUGGCGAUAGUUUGUUCGAGAUGGAUGUGUUGAUUUGUUUGAGACUUCGAUAUUGCUAUCGGGUGGUGGUGGUACUGCUAGCAAUGGCGGUGGUGCAAGUGGAGGCAGUGGUUGUCGGCAAGUGGUGAUGGUGGUCAUAGAUUAUUUGUUUGAUUGUGACCAUUAAAUUGGUUAAUCUGUG